UAGUGUGUGUGUCGCCGCAGUGUACAAACGGUCGAGGAAGAUAAGGGUCUUUCUUUAUCUUCCUUGCAGUUCGCUAACCCGCCAAGACAUAAAGGUAACCGUCACUGGCACACAUAUAGAACUGUGGCCUGUCUUGCUCUCUGCUUCAUGGAACCUCAGUCUGGAAUCAGGCGUCACGCUGUCCGGGUGGCAAGGCUGUUAUCACCCCUGUGGAACCCCGUGGUGAGUCAGGAGCGGCGUGGCGUGGUAAGGGUGAAGGGUCGCUUGGAGCAGUGGCAGGCAGGUGAUAAGCAGUGACGUGUUGUGGUGGCGGUGGUGGUGGUGAAUUGAAGUACAAAUAUCUUGUAAACAGCUUCGUCUUGUGCUAAUAUAAAGGGUUGGAAAUUUGUUCUAGUUUUUGUUGUUUUUAUUAUUGUUAUUAUUAUUGUUGUAUACGUAUAGAUAUAUGUUCUUGAUAUAUGUUCUGAUCAGGAAUAAAAGCGCCGAGCAUUAUUUAGUAGAAGAAGAAAGAAAGAAGAAGGAAAGGCUUUAUAUCUGUUAAAGCUUUACAAUGUGAAGAUGGGAGAUUGUAAUAACAGGUUGUCAGAAGGAGCAGCAGCAGCAGCAGCAGGAGGGACGCAGGGUAAAAAAGUAUAGAGGAGGAGUAGGGACGUGUGAGAAAGAGAGGAGAAACGGAAAACACAGAGGAACAGAAAAAGAGGAAGAACAAGUAGAAAAUGUAGUUAUAACGAGAACAGGUAUAGUGAAGAAAAGAGAGGAAAAUUAACACCAACUGGAGAAGGAGGCUGUGGUGUGGUGAUGGCUGAGAGGAGAUGAAGGAAGAAUAAAUACAGGCGAUAAGUUGCUCAGUGGAAAGAGUGACGUGAACAUGACUGAUACAGAUUGUCUUAACCUUUGCUAAACCUGUUCCCGUUGCCCCCCUCUGCUUCCCUAUCUCGACCCUUGUGUUUAUUUAUCUCCAUGCUUGUGAAACGUGCCGCGGUAUCUUCUGGUGCGUGUACUGACUUUACAUUCGCCUUCGAUCGCUUGUGUCUGUCUAACAUGAUUCAAAUACUAA